rnacentral:rRNA from 1 species
GACGAACGCUGGCGGCGUGCUUAACACAUGCAAGUCGUACGGUAAGGCCCUUUCGGUGGUACACGAGUGGCUAACGGGUGAGUAACACGUGAGUAACCUGCCCACCACUUUGGGAUAACGCUAGGAAACUGGGGCUAAUACUGUAUUUGUGCUCCUGCUGCAUUGUGGGGGUUGGAAAUCUCCGGCGGUUGGGGAUGGACUGUCGGCCUAUCAGCUUGGUGGGGGGGUAGUGGCCUAACAAGGCGGCGACGGGUAGCCGGCCUGAGAGGGUGGCCGGCCACAUUGGGACUGAGAGACGGCCCAGACUCCUACGGGCGGCAGCAGUGGGGAAUAUUGCACAAUGGGCGCAAGCCUGAUGCAGCAACGCCGCGUGUGGGAUGACCGCCUUAGGGUUGUAAAACGCUUUCAGCAGGGACGAAGCUUUUUGUGACGGUACCUGAAGAAGAAGCACCGGCUAACUACGUG